GGCGCCGUGACGCGCUUGGCGGGCGGUCCUCGGGCGCGCGCGGCUCUCCCCCCCUCGGGUCUCGGCGUCCCGGCCAGUUACCGGAGGCGGCGGCGGCGGCGGGUCCUGCGACCGAGGAUUUCCUGGUAAUAAUGGGAAAGUGAAGGCAUAUGGAUGUGGAAAGUUUCCGUCCUUACCGAAGUGGAGUUAUUUAAUCACGGGUCUUCCAGUGUACCGGGCUCGGAGGCGAUUUCUGGGUUGUCUAGUGUGUGUCCUCCAGUUGGGGAUGCCUGGGUCGCUCAGCGGUUGGGCGUCUGCCUUUGGCUCAGGGGGUGAUUCCGGAAUGCCUGGAUUGAGUCCCGCAAUGGACUUCCUGCGUGGCGCCUGCUUCUCCCUUUGUGUCUCUGCUUUUCUCUGUCUCUCUCUCUCUCUCUCUCUCUCAUGAAUAAAUAAAUAAAAUCUUUAAAAAUUUUAGGCA
rnacentral:lncRNA from 1 species